rfam:Trichobilharzia regenti genome assembly, scaffold: TRE_scaffold0033636
AUCCAACUGAUAAGCCCCGAAUAGGACGAAAUGCGCAUCCUGGAU